rnacentral:rRNA from 1 species
ACGGGGCGCAGCAGGCGCGAAACCUCCGCAAUGUGAGAAAUCGCGACGGGGGGACCCCAAGUGCCAUUCUUAACGGGAUGGCUUUUCUUAAGUGUAAAAAGCUUUUGGAAUAAGAGCUGGGCAAGACCGGUGCCAGCCGCCGCGGUAACACCGGCAGCUCUAGUGGUGACCAUUUUUAUUGGGCCUAAAGCGUUCGUAGCCGGUUUAAUAAGUCUUUGGCGAAAUCCUGCAGCUUAACUGCGGGAAUUGCUGGAGAUACUAUUAGACUUGAGAUCGGGAGAGGUUAGAGGUACUCCCAGGGUAGGGGUGAAAUCCUGUAAUCCUGGGAGGACCACCUGUGGCGAAGGCGUCUAACUGGAACGAAUCUGACGGUGAGGGACGAAAGCUAGGGGCGCGAACCGGAUUAGAUACCCGGGUAGUCCUAGCCGUAAACGAUGCGGACUUGGUGUUGGGAUGGCUUUGAGCUGCUCCAGUGCCGAAGGGAAGCUGUUAAGUCCGCCGCCU